CGAUCGUGGUGUAAUAGUCAGCACGGAUGCUUUCGAAGCAUUCGACGGGAGUUCGGUUUUCCCCGAAUCGG
rnacentral:tRNA from 1 species